rnacentral:rRNA from 1 species
UACGUAGGUGGCAAGCGUUAUCCGGAAUUAUUGGGCGUAAAGCGCGCGCAGGUGGUUUCUUAAGUCUGAUGUGAAAGCCCACGGCUCAACCGUGGAGGGUCAUUGGAAACUGGGAGACUUGAGUGCAGAAGAGGAAAGUGGAAUUCCAUGUGUAGCGGUGAAAUGCGUAGAUAUAUGGAGGAACAUCGGUGGCGAAAGCGGCUCUCUGGCCUGUAACUGACACUGAGGCUCGAAAGCGUGGGGAGCAAACAGG